rnacentral:rRNA from 1 species
AUUGAACGCUGGCGGCAGGCUUAACACAUGCAAGUCGAGCGAGCGGCGGACGGGUGAGUCAUGUCUGGGAAACUGCCUGAUGAGGGGGGAUAACUACUGGAAACGGUAGCUAAUACCGCAUACCAUCAGAUGUGCCCAGAUGGGAUUAGCUAGUGGGUGGGGUAAUGGCUCACCUAGGCGACGAUCCCUAGCUGGUCUGAGAGGAUGACCAGCCACACUGGAACUGAGACACGGUCCAGACUCCUACGGGAGGCAGCAGUGGGGAAUCUUGGACAAUGGGCGAAAGCCUGAUGCAGCCAUGCCGCGUGUGUGAAGAAGGUCUUCGGGUCGUAAAGCACUUUCAGUGAGGAGGCGGUACUCGCAGAAGAAGCACCGGCUAACUCCGUGCCAGCAGCCGCGGUAAUUC